rnacentral:lncRNA from 1 species
GAGAAGCAUGAUGUAAAGAAGUAGGAGCAGGAGGAGUGUUAUGAGCAGAGUUGGAAAAAGUUGUAGCAGUAGGAGUGUUAGGUAAAGAAUUAGGAGAAGCAUGAUGUAAAGAAGUUGUAGCAUUAGGAGUGUUUAUGAGCAGGGCUAACACUUGUAAGAGGAAGAGAGGGGCAGAUAAAGUAGGAAAAGAACACGAUGAGAGAGGGGAAGAAGAAGACUUAGAGGCAGGAGAGGCUAUGGAGGAA